AGCAAAGGGCAGACUUCGUGGCAGAAAGGGACACAUUUGGCUCGGUUACUAAACCCUCUGCCUGCCAUCCUCCUACCAGACUUCCUGCUUAAUCUUUAUUUAAGUCCUUUGAACAAAUGUCCAACAAGGCAAAGAUGCCAGCUGGAUACAGGAUGGAAACUCUGUUGGGGAGGGACAGCCUGUCUUCAGCAGCCUAUCCAGAGGGCCGUACAUAUCACAAGGAACUACUCACUGCUCUUCCCUGUCUGUAAAAAUGCUGUUUACUCACUGAGUUCCACGUCUGAGACCCACAGAGGAGGUGGGACAGAGCCAGUUGGAUGAGCCAGAGAAGGAGCCGGCAAAGAAGCUGCACUUAUCAUCAAGGCUUCAGAAUCAGAUCAGUACUCACUGGUUAUAUCCCUAUUGUAUGUCUUCAAAGACUACCUGAUGUCACAGAUGUUACCCCAAAACUCAGCCUGAACAACAGCUGGAGCUGGGGUGGCAAAAAGACCCGCCCCCUCUUCUCCACUUUCUCGGCUCCAGCGUUGCAACAUUACCCAGACUUGCUUCCCUACCCUGAAAACUGGAAUGCAUUGGCCCUCUGCAUCCAAAACAAACACGAGUCUAGCUUCCCAGCACUUCCCGUCUUCACCAGGUUCAUUCCAGGAGCUUGACUUUGAACAAGAUGAAACAUGCGCGUAGCUGAAAUCAAACUGGGUACUACGGAAAUGUUGAAAGAGGGCACUAAGUCUCAGGUCUUCCGGACAGUCCAGAUUCAUCCCACAGCAAAUGUUCCUUACACUGCUGCUCUUCCGGUAAGCGGAAAGGAAGAAAUAAGUCAUCGCAUGCCUAUAUAAACUGUCUCAAACCAAGGAGCCAAGAGGUAGAAGAGAUGAUAUGGAAUGCAAAUUUUUUAAAAAUUGAUUGAUUCGAGAAACUUCUGUUGCUGGAGAUAAAAGGGAGAGAAAACCUAAGCUUAUAUCCACUAAAAUUUCAAAAAGCAUUUGGUCACACAUUAAAGUUGCUUGCCCUAGUAUCUCACUGCCCAGGUCACAUGCUCCCUGUGCCAUGCAGACACAGAAAAUAAGGGUCAGUAUGAAGCUGCGCCUGUAAGUCACUGCCACUGUUAAGAUAUCCACCUAGGGACAAGAGUCCAGUGUUUCAACGCUGCCUUGCAUCAAAAGAAGACAGCAUCUGCCUCCUGUACUCCAACUUCUGCCUUAGUAUCGAUGGCAUAUUAAGCUAACACAUCCCUCUUGCCCAGGAGAUGCUCUCUGAGAUGUAACUUUCCCCCCUUCAGAACCCCUUUCUGGUCUUUGCCUGGACACAGAAUCCCCCAUAUUAUGUAGAAAAGCAAUUUGCCCAUUAAAACAUGCUGACCCUUUUAAACAUUUUCUCAGAAAUGAAUAUGAGAUGGAACAGGAGGUUUGGGGGAAGAAAAUCCCUGCCUAAUGAACACAGACACACUUGGCUGGCACUGGGCUGGGUGGCUUUUGUCCUUCUCUUCUUACCCAGAAUACAGCUGUGACGGGUGACAGCAGCAGUUUCCAAAGCCACACACAAAAGGGGCUUGGGUAAGAAGCUGGAACAGGGGCUGGGUCAAGAGGGUGUACCCCUCUGAACUAGUUAUAACUAGGCUUCUUGCCAUCAAUAAGUAAAUAAAUGACUUUUGAAUUUA